AACGAACGCUGGCGGCAUGCCUAACACAUGCAAGUCGAACGAGACCUUCGGGUCUAGUUUCUCACGGGUGCGUAACGCGUGGUAACCUGCCCUUAUGAUCCGAAUAACUCCCCGAAAGGGCUUCUAAUAACGGCUAAUGUCUUCGGACUAAAUAUUUAUCGCCUUUGGAUGGGCCCGCUGUGGAUUAGCUCGUUGUUGGGGUAAAAGCCUACCAAGUCGACGCGCCAGAGCUGGUCUUAGAGGAUGAUCAGCCACACUGGGACUGAGACACGGCCCAGACGCCUACGGUAGGCAGAAGGGGGGAAUAUUGGACAAGGGGCGAAAGGAUGAUCAAGCCAUGCUGCGGGUGUGAUGAAGGCCUGAGGGUCGUAAAGCUCUUUUACCCGGGAUGAUAAUGACAGUACCGGGAGAAUAAGCUCCGGCUAACUACGUG
rnacentral:rRNA from 1 species